UCAGCACAUAGGCUAGACCUAAAGUAAGGCCUCCACCACUAGAAAAAGAGAAAAAAAAACUCAGCAAAAUAUUUAGCAGCUGUGCAGAGAGGGAAAAACAGAAUCGGGCAGUCAAGGGGUCCUAGAGUGAAGCUUGGAUUUGUGAAGAAUUAUCUGAAGUCUAAGGUAGUAGAGAGAUCAAAAAGCAUAGUGUGAAAAGCAAAGUGCAAUCUCCUGCUGUCUCCCUGUGUUUAGGAGCCAAAGACACCCUGGGAGGGUCUGAAAAGAUGAAGUAAAUAAAAAGUCCGAGAGGGAAUGGUGAAUGGAUACUUCUUUACUUGAGGCACCUUUUGAUGCUGGCCACUGCCUGGUAGCUGAAGAGCAUGAGACUCUGGACUGGACUCUGGCAGAGGCUGCUUCUCAGAGCAGAAGUUGGCACAGUCACACUGUUGACCAAAUAGGAGGUAUGAAGAGGCCCAGUUCCAGCAGGCUCUGGAGAUAAGCUAUCAUGAAGAAAAGGCAACCCUCUGCCCAUUUGUGUUUAUGCAGGUCCAUGGUAGGUAGAUGACAAUCUCUGGAUGAAAUCUGGGUAAGGUAAAAUGCUGAGGUCUAUUCUUAUUGGUGCCAACAAAUUG